UCCUCCUGGUCGCUCCGUCUCCUGUUUGCACUCUUUCAGGACUCCUCUGCCAGUAGCGCUCAUUGAGCAUCGUACACGCACCGUCUGUCCGGUGAAGCUGAGCGGAGGAAGCACGUUCUGUGUGUGUGCGGCAGAAACAAGCAGGGGGUAGAAGCUGAAUGAAGUCAGGUUAGAAUCAGGAAGUGGGAGGACCCGGUCGCGCCGUGGGUGAAUGCGAGAGUUUGUGUGGAUACAGGCAGCACUCACGCGAGGGACGGGAGCCAGCGACAGGACCCGAGCUUCAGACCAGCGACGAUUUCGAGGAAAGGAAGCGGCGGUUUUAGUGCGGCUUUACUCCACCCAAUCUGCCUAUAGGAGGAAAAUACUGUAUGCUUUGUUGGAUUUUCUUGCUCUGCACGAGCGCACGGGAGACAGGCGCGCGGAUGGUUUGUCACUGAGCGCGCCUCUGACACAAAAGAGCGCAGAAGUCCGCGUCCGUUAAGCGACGGUUGGCGAGGAUUUCAAACGGCCGUUUCGCGCGAAGAGGACGAGCUGAAGGAUUUCUCCACUUCUCUGCGCCCUUGGGUACCAGACACAUGGCUGCUUUUGUUUGAGAGCCUCUCUCGCUUUGAGCUCUGGAUGGUUUUCUUCUUCCUCUUCUUAUUUUGCAUGGCUGUCAUUCUGUCAAAGGGAGCUAGAGGAAUUCGCCGCUUGUUUGUGGAUUACAUUGUUUGACCAGCAGAAUGUGAAACGGCGUAUUUAUCGAAACCUGAAAGUGAUUUCUUGACUUAUUUUCCUCUGUGCCAACCUCGCCACAUCAAAAGGGCUCCGAUGCCAGCUCAGAGAAACUAUUCAGCACAGCUGCUGUUAAAG